GGGGCGAUAGCUCAGCUGGGAGAGCGCUGCGUUCGCAAUGCAGAGGUCGGGAGUUCGAUCCUCCUUCGCUCCACCA
rnacentral:tRNA from 1 species